AGAAAUCAAAAGACAAGAUUGUUGCCUCCUGAGUAAAUGUUACGCAGUAUUUCCUGAACUGUCCUCUGCCACUCCUCUCCACUUAGGGGGAACCUGGGUUGCAUGGUCUCAAGGGACUGCGAGGGGAACCUGGGCAUAAGGGUGACAGAGGACCCCUGGGUCUCCCCGGUAUGGAUGGACCACUUGGGACUCCUGGUCCAGCAGGUCCAAAGGGCGAUAGAGGUGAGAAGGGUGAUGUUGGUGAUCCUGGACCCAGAGGGCCAUAUGGGUUACCUGGAGCUGCUGGAACACCUGGAAUGGAUGGGUUACCAGGCUUAAAGGGAGACAAGGGCAACAUGGGGGAAAGAGGAGAAAAGGUGAUUGUGACAUAGAUGUUGUGAAACAGGGAAUGAAACUUUCACUCUCUUUAUUGAUUAGAUCUGAUGUCAAUGGACAUUUACAAAGCAGUUUAGGCACAAAGCCUUUAUAUAGACCGAAUGUGGGCCAUGGAGUUGAAGAUCAGUGUGAAGAUCUUACAUUUAAUGGAUUCUCUUCUACAAUAGCAAUAGCAAAUAGCAAUAUUUAUAGUUGCAGGAA
rnacentral:lncRNA from 1 species